GGCUGUCCACUGUCCCAAGCCCUCGCAUGUCCUGGAUGGCCGGUCAUCAUCCACACGGGGGCUGAAAGGCCCGGCUCCAGCACUCCUGUGGUCAUCAUCCUGCUGAAUCGCUUUGAACUACCCUUGGCCUAACCGCGACUCCCAUCCCGCUUCCCUCCUGCCUCGCCACUGCAGGCCUGUCCCUUUGCUUUCUUAAAACUGCGCACCGUCUGAGGCCACUUCGAGCCUACUGGAUCCCUGGUUCCAACCCAGUAGGAUCACAGAAGCAGGGCCAGCUGCCAGGAGAAAAAGUUGUUCUCUUCUACCAAAUUUUCCUGCCAUCAAAUGCUCAUUGAGUGACAAUAGAGAAAGCACCAUCAUCCUGAAGCAUCAGAUUGGGAGAAAAGUCCGCUCUCGAGAGCAUCAACUAUGUAGAAAGGGGACCAACCUAUGUUAUAUCUGCCUUAGUGCAUGGGCUGCUGGUCAAUGCUAACAGCUGGCUCUCAGGGAAAAAAGAAAAACCAUCUGUGGCAUCUGCCAAUUUCUGUGGUGUAAAUACUCUGAGCUCUGCCAAUUUCAAGCCAUCCAUCUGACAUUGCUGAACCCAAAGUUGGCAAGGGAUGUGCACAAUUGCCUUUUGCAAGCAAGCUUCUGCAAAAGACUUGAGACAGCUCACAAUGAAGUACUCUGUAUUAGGCAGGGUAAUAUUGAUUGCAAGUGACAGAAACCCAAUCAGAAACUCACUGGAGUCAUGAGGAACACUUAUUGGCUCAGAGUAAAGGCAAAAUAGACCUUCAGAGAAAUAAAGUCUGGGAAAUUGACUAGAUCCUCACUGAAAGAACUACUAAAGGAUGUACUUAUGGAAGAAGAAAAUUACAAAGUGAAAGAACUGGGAUGCAAGAAGUAAUGGAAAUGACAAGCUAACUCUAAAGUUCACAGGAAUGAAAAGCACCUAAAAUAGGCAAAUUCAUUUUGAAAAAGAAGAACAAAGUUGGAGGGCUAAGACGACCUGAUUUCAAAGUGCAAGGCUUCAAUAAUCAAGACAGUUUGAUAUUGGCACGAAGAUACACAAAGAGAUAAUGACACAGACAUUAGGUCCAGAAGACAGUCCAGUAAUAGACUUUCACAUAUAUGGACAACAAAUUUUUGACAGUGCCAAGGCAAUUCAGUAGAGAAAGGAUAGUUU
rnacentral:lncRNA from 1 species